AGCUAUAGGCUUAACCUCAGAAGGCCUGUGGGGGCCUCACUACAACUGCCUGACCAGGUCUUUUGGAGGCCAUGCCUAGACCUGCGUGGCCAGCCCUGAUGCCGCAGGCACUGCCUACUGUGUGGUGACUGCAUUCUCUGUUGGCUACAGACAGGCCUGACUCAACAAGCACCUCACCGUGUCCUCUGGGGACCAUGGCCAUAACCAGGCCAGCCAGGGAUCCCUGUCACUUGGAGGGUCCAUUGAGGUUUAGAAUUCUAGGGGUUGCCAGUAAUUUCUUUCAGCCCAGGAAGCCAUCCUUCCACAGUUGCCCAGCCUCUACUGAUACUGUGAAGUCAGCAGUGUCACUCACUCCUGUGAAGGUAAAGGCGUUGUCCCUUCACUUGCCGGAUUGCAGCGGCUGUCCAGACAGUGCUGAAGUAGUGAGCAACAGUGGAUGAGCAACGGCCGGCCCGGCUCGUGAAGAACCCCACCAGGCAGGCACGCAUCGCUUCAGACACGGAACGGGCAACGGCCAAGAGGAGGAAGAGUUCGCGGUUAGCAGUGCAGAUGGUCUCCCACCUCAAGGACAUUCACAGGGCCGAGGCCCCCGUUUGAGGGUGAAGUGGUAGCAGCUGCUUGCGGGGAGGCAGGCACUCAUCCUGCUGGUCUGUGAGCUCACGCAGCUCUCUACAGAACACAUCACCUGCACUGUGCAGACGAGCGGCUGGAGGACGUGUGACGUUGCCACCUUUUAGGUAAAGCCCUAACCUGGAAGCCGUGCAAGGCCUACCUGCCCAUCAGUGAGAGCACAAACAGGUUCUGGUGGAUCUGAAAAGGACACCGGUACUGAUGGCAGCAAAAGCAGAGGCCGCCCGGGAACUUCCUGCAGGUGCUUGGUAAGGAUGGGUCUGGGUGCCUGCCCCUCACUGCGGGGAGGCUUGAGGCCCAGGACAUGUCCACAACAGUACGACUGCUGAUGUGGCAAAGCCUGAAGCUGCCAGGGCUGAGGAAAGCGGGUGCCUACACUGCCUCCAGACUGGAUGGGCCUCAAGCUGAGAAACCACAAGGCAACAGCCAGCCCAGGCCGACCUGGAGUUGUUUGGAGCAGCAAACAACGUUUAACUUCUUUUGUAAAGGCUACUACUUCAAGGAAGCGAGUCAGGAAAAGCUGACUACUGGGUAAGUUUGGUUUCCAUUGAAUAGGACAUCACCCAACAAGCUCAGACAUCCUGGUUUGGUUUGCAGCCAAGGCACACUCUUUGCAUUUAUCACUUUUCAUGCUUCAUAAUGCCAAAAUUGGCAAAAUCCCCCUUCCUCCCUGCUAUAUGCUCUGCCAACCAACCAACCUCCCUUUCUCAGAGGCCUCAUGGAGUUAGGCUGGGACUUCUGUCCCCUUAACUUGGACCUGGCAAGUUGGCAGCACCCUGCCCUGCUUGAUGAUCUCCACUAACUCUCCCCCAAACUUGAAGCCUUUACAUCACAUCUUCUGGCCGGUCCCAGGGUCUGGGGCCCCAGAACCUUCACAGGAACACUCAGGGCCUCAUGGGGAGGGAGCUACUGCCUACACUUCCUUCGCUCUGGUGAAGAGAGAGAGAGAGAGAGAGAGAAGACAAGUCCCAGCUGCGCAGGAUAGGACCCGGAAGGUAAAAAGAGGUGGCCUACUUGAGACCCACCUAUGAACUGACUAAUUGGUUCAAUUAUUUGCUUUCACUAGAUUUUUGCUUUCUAAUGAAGGAUGAAUCCUUGCAGCCGGUAAAAACCAAAGAAUCACACACGUUUUUGAGAAUCCUCAUCUAGGCAUUAGCAAAGGCAGCAUUCCCUCAGCCUGUAGUUUGGACCAAAGCAAAAUGAGCUUUUCUCCUCCCAGGCCCUCCCUGGUAAUCCGGCUGUGCCACCGUCCAAGGCAGCACAUGGGGCCUACGGAUGCCACCCCUCACACCAGCUACCUCAGCCCCUGUGUGCACAGGUACCACACGUCGUGCACUUGCUGCUCUCAGAGACUGUCACAGAGCACAGCAGUGCAGGACACAAGGGGCUUUUUCGUUUGUGUCACACCGCUAGCUCACUCGGUGGCAGUCACCUUUAGGUUAAAGCAUCUGGAUUCCAGGGAAUACUCACGUUAGUUGAUGGAUGUUGGAAGGCAUUGGAGGAAAACACCAUAGUUAGGACAGUUAAUGGCUUACACGCUGUUGGGAAGACUGAUCUUGAACAUGCGCAAACAUUUAUAGUAACAUGGUGUUGGUUAGUGCCACAUUCAAAUAAAAAUAGUUCUAUACAAUA